AUCCCACGGUGUGGACAUUACCUUAAUAAUUCCUUGAAUCUUUCCCAAGCAUCAAACAAAGACUCAUCAUCUCCUUUCCUAAAUGAAGUUAUUUCAUUUCUCAUUUU